GUGAAUCAUCGAAUUUUUGAACGCAAAUUGCACUCUCUUCGGAGAAUAUGCCUGUUUGUGGGUCAGCAUAAAAAAAAUCGACAUCGUUGCUGUUUCGCGGUGUAGCUCGUGGGAUAUUGGGUUAUCUUAAAUCUUUGGUUUAAGCGACUUAAAAUUUUCUUUACGUUUCCAUGAACGUUUACAUGAUUUAUUUCUUUAAUCGUUUCGGGUAUCGAUUUUAUUUGGCGUGGUCGUCAUAUCGGAUCAUGUACAUAAUUUUUCGUUAAUUG
rnacentral:misc_RNA from 1 species